AUUGAACGCUGGCGGCAGGCCUAACACAUGCAAGUCGAGCGGAUGAAGGGAGCUUGCUCCUGGAUUCAGCGGCGGACGGGUGAGUAAUGCCUGAAUCUGCCUGGUAGUGGGGGAUAACGUCCGGAAACGGGCGCUAAUACCGCAUACGUCCUGAGGGAGAAAGUGGGGGAUCUUCGGACCUCACGCUAUCAGAUGAGCCUAGGUCGGAUUAGCUAGUUGGUGGGGUAAAGGCCUACCAAGGCGACGAUCCGUAACUGGUCUGAGAGGAUGAUCAGUCACACUGGAACUGAGACACGGUCCAGACUCCUACGGGAGGCAGCAGUGGGGAAUAUUGGACAAUGGGCGAAAGCCUGAUCCAGCCAUGCCGCGUGUGUGAAGAAGGUCUUCGGAUUGUAAAGCACUUUAAGUUGGGAGGAAGGGCAGUAAGUUAAUACCUUGCUGUUUUGACGUUACCAACAGAAUAAGCACCGGCUAACUUCGUG
rnacentral:rRNA from 1 species